CAACACUGCCCCAUCACCUCCCCCCAAACCCGUACACACCUGCCCCCUCUCCGGGGCAGCCGGACUGCUGCUGCCGCCUUUGUGGGUUCCAUGUGACUCUCUGAAACUACAACAAUUCUUCUACUUUCCAGCUGUGGAGACAUAAGCCCUCAGCAUCUACUAGUGUUCUACUCUGAGAAUCCCUGUGCUUGUUGACAAAAACCUCUGCCAGGGACCUUGUGACAUCUCAAUGGGCUGACACACUGGAAAUUAAUCCCAGCAAUUCCUGGAAUCGUCUCGCAAGUUGAAGACUUUAUCGGAGUAGCCAAAAGUUGCCCAAUUUAAUUGUUUAGGCCCAGAUGAACAGAAAGCAUGGACCAGGAGUAUGGGCAUCACCAGAUAAGCCAGCAUUUAUUGCUCAUUCACAAUUGCCCUUGAACUGAGGGGCUUGCUGGACCAUUUCAGACAGCAAUUAAGAGUCAACCAUAUUGCAGUGAGCCUGAAGUAACAUGUAGGCGAAACUGGGUCAGAAUGGCAGAUUUCCUUCCCUGAAGGGCAUGAGUGAACGAGGUGAGGUUUUUAUAGGAAUUGAUGAUAGUAUUGGUAACCACAAAACUGAGAUUAGAUUUCAA